rnacentral:rRNA from 1 species
GACGAACGCUGGCGGCGUGCCUAAUACAUGCAAGUCGAGCGGUUGAAGCCUUCGGGCAGAGAUAGCGGCGGACGGGUGAGUAACACGUAGGUAACCUGCCUAUCAGACUGGGAUAACUACCGGAAACGGUAGCUAAGACCGGAUACGACCAUUUGAGGGCAUCCUUAGAUGGUGAAAAGCGGAGCAAUCUGCUACUGAUAGAUGGACCUGCGGCGCAUUAGCUAGUUGGUGAGGUAGAGGCUCACCAAGGCGACGAUGCGUAGCCGACCUGAGAGGGUGAACGGCCACACUGGGACUGAGACACGGCCCAGACUCCUACGGGAGGCAGCAGUAGGGAAUCUUCGGCAAUGGACGAAAGUCUGACCGAGCAACGCCGCGUGAGUGAUGAAGGUUUUCGGAUCGUAAAACUCUGUUGCCAGGGAAGAAUGGUUGGGAGAGUAACUGCUCUUAAUUUGACGGUACCUGAGAAGAAAGCCCCGGCUAACUACGUGCCAGCAGCCGCGGUAACAC